AACGCGAAGAACCUUACCCAGGUUUGACAUGCAGAGGACAGUGGCAGAAAUGUCAUCUCCCGAAAGGGUCUCUGCACAGGUGCUGCAUGGCUGUCGUCAGCUCGUGCCGUGAGGUGUUGGGUUAAGUCCCGCAACGAGCGCAACCCUUAUCAUUAGUUGCCAACAUUUCGGAUGGGAACUCUAAUGAGACUGCCUGGGUUAACCAGGAGGAAGGUGAGGAUGACGUCAAGUCAGCAUGGCCCUUAUAUCUGGGGCGACACACGUGCUACAAUGGUCGGUACAGAAGGCAGCAAAGCCGUAAGGUGGAGCAAACCCCUAAGCCGAUCUCAGUUCGGAUUGUAGUCUGCAACUCGACUACAUGAAGUUGGAAUUGCUAGUAAUGGCGUGUCAGCCAUAACGCCGUGAAUACGUUCCCGGGCCUUGUACACACCGGCUAC
rnacentral:rRNA from 1 species